GGAAUAUUGGACAAUGGGCGAAAGCCUGAUCCCGCAAUGCCGCGUGUGUGAAGAAGGCCUGCGGGUUGUAAAGCACUUUCAGUCGAGAAGAAAAGCCUACGGUUAAUAACCGUGAGUCUUGACGUAACCUAAAGCAGAAGCACCGCCUAACUCCUUGCCAGCAGCCGCGGUAAUACGGAGGGUGCAAGCGUUAAUCGGAAUUACUGGGCGUAAAGCGCGCGUAGGCGGCGUUGUAAGUCGGAUGUGAAAGCCCUGGGCUUAACCUGGGAAUUGCAUUCGAUACUGCAUGGCUAGAGUAUGGUAGAGGGAAGUGGAAUUUCCGGUGUAGCGGUGAAAUGCGUAGAUAUCGGAAGGAACACCAGUGGCGAAGGCGACUUCCUGGGCCAAUACUGACGCUGAGGUGCGAAAGCGUGGGGAGCGAAC
rnacentral:rRNA from 1 species